UCAUCUUGAUGAAUAAGAACUACUGUCCC
rnacentral:sRNA from 1 species